rnacentral:rRNA from 1 species
UACAUGGGGUGCAACCGUUGCUCGGAAUUAUUGGGCGUAAAGCGCGCGUAGGCGGUUACUCAAGUCGGAUGUGAAAGCCCUCGGCUUAACUGAGGAAGUGCACCCGAAACUGAGUAGCUAGAGUACUAAAGAGGGUCGCGGAAUUCCCGGUGUAGAGGUGAAAUUCGUAGAUAUCGGGAGGAACACCGGUGGCGAAGGCGGCGACCUGGGUAGAUACUGACGCUGAGGCGCGAAAGCGUGGGGAGCAAACAGG